rnacentral:ncRNA from 1 species
UACUGAAUUGAUUAAAAGGGAAGUUGAGUGUAAAUCUCGCACGGUCCCGCCGCUGUAAAAGCGAAGUCUUUAUUAAAAUAUCACUGAGAAAUUGGGAAGGUUAUAAAGAUGAUGAUGCUUAAGUCAGAAUACCUGCCUGUAAUAUUAA